GUGAGUGACAGUUUUUAAAUCCAUUACCAUUAGAAAACCACAGGUUUUAAGAAAAUUUUAUUUUCCAUUUAUAUUGAGGUACAAUUGACAUAUAGUAAAUUUCACCCUUUUAAGCACACAGUUCUUAGAAUUUUGAAAUACAGUUAUGUAACCACCACCACAAUCAAGAUACACAACAGUGCCAUCGGCCCCUAAAAUUCCCCCAUGCCUCUUUUGUAACCAUCCCCUCUUCAAACCGCAGCCCUUGGCAACCACUAAUCUGUUUUUCUUCCUGUAGUUUGGCUUUCUUAAGAAUGUCGUAUAAACUGAGUCAUGGAGUAGGUAGCCCUUGGUAUCCUGCUUCUUUCAGCUAGCAUAAUGCAUGUGAGAUCCAUUCAUGCUGUUGUGCAAAACAGUAGUUUGUUUCUUUUUAUUGCUGAGUAAGGAUUUUAUUGUAUGGAAUGUACCAGUUUGUUUAUCCAUUCUCCAGUUGAGAAACAUUUGGGUAGUUUUUAGUUCCUGGUGAUGACAGAUAAAGCUGCUGCAAACAUUCAUGUGCAUAUUUUCGUGAGGAUGUAGUUUUCAUUUCACUUGAGUAAAUGCAAAGCAGUGAGAUUGCUGGGUCAUACAAUCUCGUCCAGAAGUAAUAUACGUCAAGAAAGAAGAGAUUAUAAAUGUCUAGCAGGGACUGUUAGAAAUAUAUUUGGUGCCCUUGAUGAUUUCUCAAUCAAGACAGGGAACACUGAGGUACAACCACAUAGAGCAUCGGAGCUGCUACGGUAAAGGGGAAGGAGAGAUUCCUACUCUGGUUGAUGACACUGGAUCCUUGCAAGCUGGACAUCUCGGAACAACAGACACAGCUGUUCAACCUCAGAGCUUCUAGACUUCCCAUGUUCCAAGUCCACUUCUGCCGGCAGAAUAGAAACCUCGUCAGUUAUCACAACUCAGAUGAAAAAGCCUCACAGCUUGCGGUGUUGACAGUAUUCUAGAAGACCCUACACCCCUGUGGCUUCUCGAUGACUAAUGUGGAGCCAGCAUCUGUCAGCACAAACUCAGAGUGAUUACCCAGAAAUAGGUAUCCUUCUAAUUAAAAUAUCUGACCAUGUCCCCAUCAGCCACUUGCCUCAUUUGGGACACCACCAACCAUCCUGCACGGCUGCCCAUGUUUCUGUUUCUCCAGCCCAAGCAUGCAGUUUCAGUAGGUCCUUCAGAGGCUGCCUGAAAGCAUCCCGCCUCCAGAGCCCUGUGGGUUGAAGACCGCUGUGCUCUUUUCUUUCGGCUUCACACGCUGGUUAGUCUUCUGUUUGCUUUGUCAGCACGGUACUUUUCAUUUCCUUCGUGGUGUUUUUAGGAGCUCCUGAAUUUCACAGACAAAUCCAGACCCCUGUGUGGAAAGCCUGCGGUGGUGUUCUCCGUCUUCCCACAGGACUCCCUGCAGCCAGGAAUUCUAGGGGAGCACCUGACGCGAGGUAUACGCCCAGAUGGCCUGAAGUAACUGAAGAAUCACAAAAGAAGUGAAAAUGUCCUGCCCCGCCUUAACUGAUGACAUUCCACCACAAAGGAAGUGUCAAUGGCUGGUCCUUGCCUUAACUGAUGACAUUCCACCGCAAAAGAAGUGAAAAUGGCCGGUCCUUGCCUUAACUGAUGACAUUACACCACAAAAGAAGUGAAAAUGGCCGGUCCUUGCCUUAAGUGAUGGCAUUACCUUGUGAAAGUCCUUUUCCUGGCUCAUUCUGGCUCAAAAUCACCCCCACUGAGCACCUUGUGACCCCCACUCCUGCCCGCCAGGGAACAAUCCCCCUUUGACUGUAAUUUUCCUUUACCUACCCAAAUCUUAUAAAAUGGCCCCACCCCUAUCUCCCUUUGCUGACUCUCUUUUUGGACUCAGCCUGCCUGCAUCCAGGUGAUUAAAAGCUUUUAUUGCUCACACA
rnacentral:lncRNA from 10 species